AACGAACGCUGGCGGCAGGCCUAACACAUGCAAGUCGAACGCCCUAGCAAUAGGGAGUGGCAGACGGGUGAGUAACACGUGGGAACGUGCCCUUCGGUUCGGAAUAACUCAGGGAAACUUGAGCUAAUACCGGAUACGUGCGAGAGCAGAAAGAUUUAUCGCCGAAGGAUCGGCCCGUGUCCGAUUAGCUAGUUGGUGAGGUAAUGGCUCACCAAGGCGACGAUCGGUAGCUGGUCUGAGAGGAUGACCAGCCACACUGGGACUGAGCCACGGCCCAGACUCCUACGGGAGGCAGCAGUGGGGAAUAUUGGACAAUGGGCGCAAGCCUGAUCCAGCCAUGCCGCGUGAGUGAUGAAGGCCCUAGGGUUGUAAAGCUCUUUCGCCAGGGACGAUAAUGACAGUACCUGGAUAAGAAGCCCCGGCUAACUUCGUGCCAGCCGCCGCGGUAA
rnacentral:rRNA from 1 species